rnacentral:lncRNA from 1 species
AACCUAGACCCCAACGACGGGCAACAGACCCCACCACAAAGAUAAGGAAUUCUCUAUUCAAACGGACAGAGUCGCUCCUGUAUUUGCAUAGCGUAGUACAUAGUACUAGUGACAACCAUAACAUACCACUCAAACUAAUACAAUACACGAUUCACACAAAUUAUCAUUUCACAAGUUUUCACAUAUAUUCCUACUAGUUAAAAGCGUCUCCCACACGAAGGCUUCACUUUGAAACUCUAAAUUUUCAAAAAUCCACAAAAAGCCUAAAAACUAUUUUGAAAACUGUUUUCCAUACGAAAAACUUCGUUUUGAAAACACUACCACAAUGGGUAGAAAAUCACAUUUUAAUAUUUGCAAAAACCACGA